CUGCUGCUCCGACCAGUAGGCCUGUGCGGCGAGCACACGGUCCAGGAGUUCCUGUGGAACUGGAGCUCCCCUUCUUUGCUGCGGCGCUAUGCUCGCCGUGUGCACCAGGGUCUUCCACUUGCUUACCUUCAGAUCAACAUAGGUCCUAUGAUGAACAUUUUCAAAUGCGCGGAAUUUGACCCACAAACCUUCCUGUUCCAAGGUGCUCGACGGCUUCCACCAGCAACUCCACUUCAGCAACAGUGAAAGGCCUCCUUAUCCGUCUUUGCCCAAAAUCUGGUCGCUUUGACCUAGAAAGCGGCACAUUGGCCAGCGCCAGUGAGUUUGGAUCUGCAAAAGGGACGAUGGCUUGGGAGCUUGCUGAUGUUUCUUGUGUGCUCCAUUCCACGGGAUAAUCAACAGAACCAGGAUCACUCAAGCUGCAGCCUGGAAAAUCUUGCAUAAGCUGCUGGUUCUCAGCAGCCUCCUGUCUAAUAAUGCAAGGAGAAGAUGCUUUCUUGUAACCUACGUAGCAGACUUGUCCACAACAGAUGCACCAACAAAAUCCAUUUCUUCUGGCACUAUUACACCAGGGUGAGAAUCUUGCCCAGCUUCACAUUCCAGAGUAAAGCCUAUGUCAUUUAGUUUUUUACCACGGCAAAUCCCAGCCUGACGAAGCGUCUUGUUGUCAUUUUGAAUAUUUUUUCCUUGAAGAAGUAUACCGACACGGAGACCGCGUUCAAUUAUAGUAAUACACAUAUGGUGUUUUACCUUCAAUGAACCAACUGUUGCAUUUUCAGGGAUCUCAAUUAGUAGUUCAGGGAUGUUGAAAGAUUUGAUGGUUAACUUGACUGAAAAGAGAGAAAAAAGUAAGUCAUUUUUUUAAUAAAGCUUCCAUUAUCAAAAAAUACUUUCAGUUAGGAUACCUUCAUCAGAUGAUUUUUCGGAGUAAAGUUGAGCAAGUCUUUUCCUCUUCAAAGUUGUUUGUUGCACUCUUCGGCGCGUAGUGGGCAUCUUCUUUUCACACAAACUCAGCUUCUUGAAAUACCUUUACAAGACAUCUCUCCACAUAUCCUGUUGCGAGCUGCCUUCCUUAACCUGGAGGCAAACAAUCUCCUUAUCCUGCGGUCACCUAUAUAAUGUGGAAUAUAACCACGGUUAUUUCCUGAGGUGCUUGGAUGUACACACCCAGAAGAAUUUUCGUCAUCAUCUCUGUCUGCAGCAUGCUGCACUUUAGCCAAACACGAGGGAUGGGAGUUAUGCCCCCUGUCAGGGCCGCAGAUGUGCACUCCUGAGUUACUACCAGAGCUAGCCUCAGCAAGAGGUUUGGUGUCCAAAUCCAUGGUCUCGACCAAAGCACAUAGAGCUGCAGCAUCACUAUCUUCUUGACUUCUGAUUGCUGUUGGUCUCGCCCGAUGCACUUGUUUAACCUCUGCUGAUCUUGUGGACCAAGGUUGGCAUACUCCAACAGAUCCAUACUCCGGAAUUGUGCCAAGACCAAAACCCAAUCGACAUGAUUUUUUACUGCUAACAAAUGAGUCCUUAGCCAACACAUCAGGCUUUGCUGUUAGUGACUCUAGUACUGAAUCAGCUAGAUUUUGAGUCGACGAGUUUUCAGCCAAGCACAUAUUAGCUUGUCUGAGAAAGCCACAGAUGCCUGCACAGCCUACUGUACAACCUUUGCAGUCAUCUUUUUUCACAGCCACGCUUCUCAACGGAAACGCUUCAUCAAACUGUUCUGCUUUAACUGGUUUCAUGCUUGUAACAUAACCUUCUGGUGUUUCAUUUAUGUUAGGUCCACUAGAUAAAUUGUCUUGAUCAGCCAACAAUUUUUCUGCAGCUGUCGCAAGCAAAUCAAGUGCAUACAUCUGCUUUUUCCUUAUUCUUAACAUAACAAAAAUGUACCGGCGCCAAUGUUGCGACACGUGGCUUAAUGGGAGCACGAUGGCCAUGGGAUCCAUAGUCCAACCUCUUCUGCAACACCAUGUCUUG
rnacentral:sRNA from 1 species